AUCUCUCUUCGGCUAAAAAAUCAAUCGUGAUAUAUGCGAAAAGAUAUUCCUUCUUUCUUGUUAUAUCUCUAUUCGGCUAAAAAAUCAAUCGUGAUAUAUGAAAAGCUUCCUCUAGAAAAACCACCGAUAUUUUCGGGUUUUCUAUGAAAGGAGACGAGGCUUCUGUAGGAUCUAGAAGCAUAUCUAAGAAUAUACAAGUAAAUCCGAUUCAAUUCUGGUUUAUGGAUAUGUUGGCUAUUCAUUUUGUAAAUUUUUUCUACCCUAUUAUUCCGACCCUAUCAGAAAUAACAAAUUAAAAUGCUUAGUUUAAUUUAGAG
rnacentral:lncRNA from 1 species